rnacentral:sRNA from 1 species
UUAGGAAGAUUGAAAAAAAUGUUUGGUUUGGAUAGGCCUCUAUUUUGAUUGACAGAUUAAAUUCUAAAACCAUUUCUCUACUACACAUGUCCCUGUCAUAGUAUGUCUAAGAUUAAUCAAGUGUAUGCCCAAUUAUGUGUAGGCAUAAGAUGAUAAGUAAUUUUCUCUAAAAGCUCACUUGGAGCUACUGCUUUGCCUUACAGUGUCUACAACCCAAACCAGACUAAGCUCUUGUAUGUGGACAUAACCAAAAUAUGACUGAGUAGAACCUGCUAAGAUUGUGUGGUCAUGUAGGGGAAUAUAAACCUACUCUGUUAUUUGAAAUGGGUUGUGGAUAUAGUUUGAUGAGGUCCAGGUUUCUUUUUUUCCAGUAUUCAAGGUCUUUAUUUAACUAUAACAGCAACCGUUGGUGAGGAUUUUUUUCCUAGUUCCAACCACCUGCUUCUUUGGCAGGACAGGGAAAACAAACCGGUCAUGGAAUCACACACGGUCUUAGGAUGGCAUUGCUGACAGUGACUGAGAGGAGUUGGGGGGUUGGGAGGACAGGACAGCACACCAGAGGAACAAAGGGGAGGCCAGGGAAAGCGCUGGCGGGCUCUGAAACCCCAUCCCACACGGCUGGGACUGCAGCAUAAAGAUAAACUGCAGAGAACAUAAAGAUGCUAAAAAUGGACAACUGGGGACCAGAGGCCUUGGAGGCUCCUCAAGUCACCUUAAGGAUUACUGGAGCUGGCCCGCGUGCCAUUACCAUUACGUAGGGGUAGGGUAAAAGCAUUGUGUGGGCCUGUGUGCUCCCCAUGGGCCCUGCCUCCUGCCGCUAUCCCCCAGCUCAGGGCUGGGCAGUUUUCAGAAGGCUGAAGUGGAGAGGAAGGGGUGUAGAGGCCAGCAUGAGCAUCUUGUACUGGAUCCAUGGGAUCAGGGUCUGAGGCCCUGGUAGGGGCUCCCUUGGGAAACACCAGCACAGCCAUGUGUCUACCAGGCAUCCAGCCUCUCGCUGCCACCCUCCCACCUCACGAACGUGAACAGGAGUCUGUAUCCACUGGGAAAUAUCCCAGAGCAGGAGUCUUUUUCUACUGGGCACACAGUAUGGCCACCAGGGCUACAAGAAGAGCUGAGCAAGCAGGAAGAAACCAUGGCCCCCUGAAGACUAGAGUUACCUUCUGCCAACAGGCACCAGGUCAGGAGCCGCCUAGAGGAAAGCUACAGUUUCAGAGGGUGGCGAAGGCGUCUUGGUUGGUCAACUGGAAAAAUAAGGACCUGUCAGUCAUUCUUACAGUCUUCAGUCAAGUUUCUGUGAGCGAGCCUCAAUAAAGCCACCACGUGGAAACCCAUUACCAGAGCAGGAAACACUGCUAAGCACUGAAGGACCAAGUCAACUGAGGAACCCAGAAUCUCGGGACUAAACGCCAGAGGCUAGGGGUUAGGGGCACCACGCCUACACCAAGUUCAGAUAGAACCUUCUUCCCCAACAAACGGUGUUCCCCGCUACAUGGGAAGGCCUCACCUUCCUGCGGGAAGGAUGGGUCAGUGAUUGAGUUUCGCAGAUUGAUAAAUAGCUGCCGUGGGCAUGGAGUCCAGAAACCACUUCAUGUGGCUUGAGCCACAUGAAGACAGCGGUGCCUUUCUUCUGGAGGCAAUGAACCGGUUCGGCACAACCCCCUCAUGCAGCCAACAUUGAAGGCGGAGAUGGGAAGAAGGUUCCUUCCUUGAUACGUGACUGCCAGCACCAGAGCCUUGUAGGAGCUGGCUGGACUUUCAGUGGAACCCAACUUGAGUGAGAAGGUCUGGGAAGCCCAAGAAGACAGUACCCAAGCCAUCCCCUGCCCCUCCUCAGAUCAGAAAGAAACCCACAAUCCACUAGUACCUCAAGUACACGCUAAACUAGUAUGGCUACAGGAAAGAGAGUGUUAGCAAAGAACAAUGCACCAGUCCCAACAAGAGCUUCUGCCUAAGGACAAUGAGACCGGCUAGCAGGAAGCAGCAGUCGUCCUGUGAGAUCCUGUGAGAUCCGAGGCACUGGUGAGCUACCUUUCAAGCUUCUCUUACAGGUUCUUUUAAGAGCACACUUCCAACAAGACCCUCAGGAGGCGAUACGCUAGUCUACAUGCUGCACUGACCAGAGCUAUCAAGUGCAUGGACAUCUGCAUUCUCAGGUAUGAGGUCCAGUUUUCUAAUGAGUUGCCAUUUGCCUUGUUCAGGGUAGGGUGUAUCUGUAGGUAGUAAGUGUUCUAAAGCUGCUGGACAUAUUAUGGGGGGAGAAAGAUGCACGAUCCAAGCCAAGUGGGCCUCAUAAAUGAUCCUAUACCCUUGCCUUCUCUUUUCUUUCUUCCUUCAUUUUAAAGAAAAUCUGUAUUAUUGUUUCUGCUCUCAAACAUAUUACUAUCACUAUUGUAGUAUAAUGUGGUAUCAUAUUAUCUGAAGUAGAAGUAACUGACUACGUUAUCUUCUACUUUGUAAUUAUACUCUGCAGCCAUGUAUAUUUUAUGCUGUACAAAUACCCUAGAAUAAAGAAUGAAAUGCUACAUGAUGAAAUCUAUGUAAUGAAAUAUUAUGAGUAAAAUAAUCAUAUGUAGAUAAUAGCUACAGGAAAGAUUUCUCAUAUUCAUUCUGCCUGUCUGUACUCAAAAUUGCCUCAGAGAAAACUAAGUACAGAGGUGGAAUAUCACAAAGUGAAAGGUGAGAGGCCUAGCUUGUUCUCACAUUAGAAACUAGGCCAUGGAGGUGAAACAAGCUGAAAACACUUGUUUAAACAGGAAAAGCCACAUGAAUUGUAUCAUGAAAGAUGUGAAGAUGUUUCAAGGAAGGGAUGCUAGACUCCCUCUGAUUUGUGCUGAAAGAUUACAAAAUGACAGCAACUUGGUCAAAUGCAAAAUAUAAAUGCUUCUUCCCUACAGCAUCAGUGUUUGGAAAAGGUGGAAUCACAGUGCCUACCAGACAGUGGUGAAGAGUGGUUCAAGUGCAAGUUUGAGUGGUUCUGUGUAGAGGGAGCCCUGGUUUUGAACAACAGACAUAGAAACAUAAGAAGGUACACUGCUGACGGAAGCUCUCAACUCUUCAUAAUUUAACCCACACUAAAAGGUAAUGCAUACACACUGCCCAAAUAAUUCCUAUAGCUUUAAACAAUGAAUAAAAACUUACUGUAUUCUUCAGAUUUCUAAGACAUCAAACAUUUGAUAAGAGCUCAUUCAUUUUCUGUAAACCAUUUCAAUUGCUUAUUCUUGAUUGCUAUACUAAUAUACACAAACUUUAUAUAUACAUUCAUAGCUAGUUAGGGAAAGCUAAGCAUAAGCAGCCAUUGGAAAUUCUUCAAAUUAAGUAAGCUUGGAGUCAUUUAUAAAGUAUCAUUCAUGUCCUAGACAUAGUAUGUAACAUAAUUUACAAGACUACACAAAAUUCAUCCUGCACACACAAGAUCAGAUUCUUGUUUUGAAACAAUAAAAAUGUAAAGAAUGUUACAAUAAUUUCCCUGAACAUCAGUUGUGCUCCAAUGGCUUUACAGUGUGAAGAAAGCUGAUCUAAUUGUGGCUUAACAGCAGUUAAUGACUGUUAAGGGCUUCAUUCAAUAACAAAUGUUCCUGGUAUUCAUGCUGUAGAAAUGACUGCAGGCAUAGCUUAUUAGGGAAUUAGACUCAGACUAACCAAGCACUAGAAGCAUAAUCGUUGUAUGAGAGAAGGUUAUUUCAGUAUAGCUAGGAAAUCCAGGAAAGCUAAAGAAAUGUGUGCAGGCAACCGGAACAUUUAGACUGAUAAUUUGAGAUGAGUGUUGCUUACUGGGAAUCUACAAAGGCCAGAAAUACCUAUCUUAUUGGUGAUAGUAAGAACAACAUCCCUUGUCUACCUUUGACUUCAGGAACUGCGUUAGAUUUAAGGAGAGUUUUCUAAAGUCUGCCCAUGACUGCUGAACUGGUUUUAUUAAUGCACCAAGUGGCUUCUAAUCACUGACCCUGUAAACACCCCUCCACAGACAAACACAUACCCCCUUGUAAGUGUCUUAUAUCUUUAUGAUAUUUUGAGAAAGCAUGAAAGAAAGAAGACACGAGUACUUUCUGACCACUUUUAAAGUUACCUGGCUCACCAUGGGAGAGCACACAAGUUAGCAGCAUUGAGCAGUUUCUGAGGUUUAUUGACAAUAAAAAAGGCUAGCUUGUGGGAAAAGUUGUAGCAAAAGUGAAUGAGAAAUAAACUACCCCUUUGGAAAAACGAGUCAGCAAUUGCAAAGUUUUAAGGGAAGGCUCCAAAAGGUCUGGACACUGUCUUCCUACCUUAAUGGGCAACCCCUAUUCAGAUGCUUAUGUUAACCUGGCCUUGCAGCCCAUACAUUUUCUUUUUGUCUUGUUUUACAUUUAUAUUUUUUCUCUUAUACAUAUUUUCUUUUUGAAAGUAUAAUUAUAUCACUUCCUCCCUUUUCUUUCUCCUUUAACUCAAUCAUAUACCCCUCCUUGUUUCAAAUUAUGGCCUCUUUUUUAUUAAUGUUUGUUACAUAUAUGUAUAUAUGUAUCUUUGUCUAUAUGUAUUCAAGAUGUAUAAUCAUAUACACAUGAAUUAUAUAGUCAUAUACAUACUACAUAGGUAUAUGUACACAUACAUAAACAUAUAUAUCCUUAAAUAUAACUUCCUAAUUCUGUAUAAUGUUACCUAUGUAUAUUUUUUCAGGGCCAAUCUUUUGGUAUUGGGUGGCCAAUUAGUGUGUUCUUCUUGAAAAAGACUAUUUCUCCCAAUCUCAGCAUUCCUUGGUUGCCUGUAGGUCUUCGUGAAGGAUUAAGGCAGAGUGGGCUUUUUCUUGUCCGGUUUAGUGUGUCAGUUGGAAUUGUCUUUCUUCAACCCAUAUUUAGGCAGUUAUAUGGGGAAGACUUUAUUCUGAAAUGACUGGAAGACACAACCUCACAGUAAACUCUCUGAUCCUCUUGGGUCUUCAAUAUUUUUGCCUCCUCUUUCACAAUGUUCUCUGAGUCUUUGGCAUGGGAGUUGUUUUAUAGAUGUAUUCAUAUAAACUGGGCUUCACAACAUCGCAUUUUGAUUGGCUGUGUUUUUCUGUAAUGGUUUUCAUGGUCUGAACACUCUCAACUGAGUACCAAAACAACAACAAAACAAACAAAUAAACAAGCAAACAAACAAAAGACGCACCGAAACCAAAAACACCUGACUAAACUCCCUUUGGAAGGAAUGUGGCUAUUUAUAGUACAAAAUUCUCAUUAAAAAUCAGUGAACUGGAGACUGGCUUUAUUCAUGGUUCUUUUUUCAAGCUUAAACUGAAUUAAAUAUACAUACCUGUCUUCACUGUCUUCAGAGUAUAUAAACCAUCCUAGGAGGUUUUGUGCUUUGACUUGACUCCAUUCAUAAUCUCUCAGCCUCUGACCUAAAAUAACAACAUCAUCUCUAUAUUAUACAUGUAACAUUCUUUGUAUUAGUGGACGAUCAUCAGAUUUAAGGAUUUUAUUACCAUUGAACAUACAAACACAGGCAAUACUGGAUUACCAAUAGGAAAACUAACCUGGUGAUGGAAGAAUCAAGUUCAAAAUUGCGAAAAUACCAAAUCACAGAUAUUUUAACCUUUAAGGAAAUGCAGAAUUCAUCAUCAUAAGAGAAUUUAAACUUCUGCUUAAUUUUCUUAUCUUCAUUUUACAACUUGAUUUUGAACAUAGGACAUUUUAUCCUAUGGCCCUUCUCAGGCCCAGAAUAUCUUCCUAUGAUUUGUUGAACAUCCCUCUACAAUUGUAUGCUCAUCGGUUCUACAUGCAGCAUUCGGGGCCUCAGUCUGCAGACUCUGUCUUCUCUGCUUUGUGAUGUGCAGUGUCCUGAUUGUCCCUUCAGUCACGGAACACUCCCUUCAUAAGUUUUUUUCACACCACAUUCUCUUUAGUAAAUUAGGGCUUUUUAAUAGAAAUAUUUCUUAAAAAUCACGGAAAAUAAUCUAAAAUUAUUGCUUUAUUCAAAAUCUAAUUUGAUCAGAUAAAACCUAGUUUUAUGUAACCAGUUUGUAUGUGAAACAGUGAUAGCUAUUUAAAACUUACCUUGUCACCGCGGGAACCUGAAGGAAACAGACCGGAUAAACAGUUCUCUGCACCCAAAUC